GGGCCUGCCCGCGGUUUCCGGUGGCCACUGCCAGAGAGUCCGUCCUUCCCGCUGUCCGUGGACCGGGCCGAAGCCCAGCUGCCAGUCGAAGGAGUGGCCGGCGGUGGGGAAGAGAGAAAAGAAAGACGACGCAGUCCGUGAAGAGGCGGCCUGUCCGGAGAGCAAUGGGUGACAAUCUGGAUUCACAGCCUCCCCCCGCCCCCAAUACCCUCCGUGGGCCACUGACCCCCUCGCUGCCUGGGAGUCAGAUGCUGGGGAUGGGACUGCCAGCCUAAGGACCUCUUCCCUGAGAAGGAAGAAAUGGACAAACCAGGGCCUGAGCUCAACUGCCCAAGGAGACAGAGGAAACGGAAGGAACGCAGUGAGCCUGCAGGCUCAAUGCUCGCCAAACUGCCACUCCAGCCAAGUUCAACGAUUCUCUCAACUUGGGGCUGGGAGAUGAGAUGAAUCACUUGCCACACCUGAGUGCCUGCCUGGUCCAGCCACCUAGGGCAAAUGGUGCUGUCAUCCAAAUGGAAGGGUGGCACACUCCUUUAGAGCUAUACAAUGUCUGCUGGGACAAGCUGUUUUCUCCAAGCCCCAUAUGGAUGCAGCCCAUGAGGUUUCUGGUUUGGCCUUUAUACGGCUAACACUGAAAUUUAUCUCACUUGCCCCAAUUUUUCUCCUAACUCUCGCAUCUCCACCUUACUCUAGGACAUCUCUAAAAGGAUGUUCUGCUGG